GAACUGCGAUAAGUAAUGUGAAUUGCAGAAUUCAGUGAAUCAUCGAGUCUUUGAACGCACAUUGCGCCCCCUGGCAUUCCGGGGGGCAUGCCUGUCCGAGCGUCAUUGCUGCCCUUCAAGCCCGGCUGUGUGUUGGGUCGUCGUCCCCUCCGGGGGACGGGCCCGAAAGGCAGCGGCGGCACCGCGUCCGGUCCUCGAGCGUAUGGGGCUUUGUCACCCGCUCGAUAAGGACCGGCCGGGCGCCAGCCGGCGUCUCCAACCUUUUUUUCUCAGGUUGACCUCGGAUCAGGUAGGGAUACCCGCUGAACUUAAGC
rnacentral:misc_RNA from 1 species